CGUUCAACACUAAACUCCUCUCUCCCCCUCUUUGAUUCCCCAUCCACCGCCGCCUCCUCUCUCGCCUCACCGCUGGCCUCCUCUAUGCCUCUUCCUCUCCCUCUCGGACGACACCUAGCUAUGGCCGCCCCAUGCUGAAUGGCCGCCCGUGCGGCAUCCUGCAUCUGGCGCGGGAGCGUGUGGUGGUGACUAGCCGAGCCGUCCUGCUGAUGGCUCGAGCACGGACCCUUGCGACGGCGUCCGGACGAGGCCGGGCGCAAGGCGGAGCUGCGGCCGCGACCCGGCACCGGCGCAUGCCCGGCGGUGGGACUUCGCCGUGGCCGGAGGGAGAGUUGGGCGGCAGCAAGCGGUUCAGCGAGGGCGCACGGGCGAUAGGGUGGGGCUCUUGCUAGCGGCUCUCCCAUUCCCGUUGGUUUCUUGCGGCCAUGGUGGCGUUUCUCAGAUCGAGCGCCGCUCAUCCUUCUCCUCUUCGCUGCUUCUCCACAACGCUAGCCCCUCCACCUCUCCCCCCUUUCGUUGUCUGGUGGCCAUGGGAAUGGGAUGCGCCUGGAUCGGAAUCGGGCGUAGGUUAGGUGAGGCUGAUGGUUGGGUGAAGGAGUAGGGGAGGCGGGCGACGAGGACAGGAAGAAGCCGGCCGUCGUGGUGCAGUGGGGCUGCCGGGAAGGAAGAGGUCGGCUGCGUCCCCAGCGGUGUCUGUGGAGCUGCUCCUCAACAAGAUUCGGCCAUGGGGAGGACCGUGGUGGCAGCGCAGCCUCGCCCCCUCUGGCGCAAGAGAUCAGCACACCAUCGAACUGAGAUGGCAAGCACCAUUUUGUUGGUUCCUGUCUUGCCAAUGUCUACAGCAAUGUGUGCGUCCUCUGUCUCAUCUGUGGCAUUACCGUGGGGCAACUCAUAAUGGGCCUAUCAAGCAUACUGACCUUGUGAUGAUAGAUAAAGAGGUUGAUUUCAGUGCCAUUCAGAUAAAUAUAUUUUUAGCCCUGUGAACUGAAAAAUGAGUGCUUCUUGGUUGUUUCUGUUGUUGGUCCAGAAGAUUCUUGGUGCUCUUAGUGCAGUAGUAUACUAUGCUCCUUGACACUUCUUGGUGUGUUAACUAAAUGGUUUAGUCCUGCGCUUCAUAGAAGCAGUUUUAACUAAAUGUAAUGAACUAAUUAAGUGCCUUCGUUUAUUGUUGGCUAAUCCUUUGGUUUUA